AGUCUUGGAAAUUUUUUAAUUUUUUGGAAGAUCUUCACUUUCUGCAAAUGUUUUUCAACGUGAAUUCCCCACUCAAAUUGUGAACAUAAUUUCGACUUAACUUUCUCUCUGGUGACAUUCUAGAUGGUUUGAGAGAACUUUCCAAAAUGCAAGCCCUGAUCAUGUAAGCCAAUAAUUUGAGUGGCACAAUCUCACAAUAUGAUUUAAUGUUCUCUUCCUAAAUUACUGCUGGAAAAAGAUUGCGGAUAAUCUGCAAUCGUAUAACCUAUAUAUUACACUCUGAACUGGAAAUAUAGGGAAUCGGAGCUCAAAGUUAAAAGCUAAUGUGACUUCAGGUUCACUUUAAGUAGGAACCAUGUAAAAGU
rnacentral:lncRNA from 1 species